UUCUGCUGGUGGAGGAAGAGCCAGCUGGACAGGAGAAGCUUGUGACGGUGAUGGUCUGUAACUCACCGGAGCUGGAAGGCGGUAGAAUCCCCGCGGCGGCGGCGGCGCGAGGUGGUGGAAGUAAGGUAAUUCCUUGCGGUGGAAGUUACGGUGACAGCCACAAGCGGCGCAUUUUAGGGCGUCGAUGGUACCUUCGGUUCCAGCUGGCAUAAACUCACGACAACCAUCCACCGCGUGUCCUCCUAUGUUCACCGCUUGAUUCUUGAGACACUCACGGAACCUGAACCUAGAACCGCCGUGAACCACCAUGAAACCUCCACCCCCCGUUAAGUUUGUUCCGGCGGUGUCAGGACUUUCAGUAGAGGCCUUGAGGACGCGAGACGAUGGAGGAAGAGGAGGAGAGUCGUAAACGGCGUUGUCUUCUUCUUCCUCGUGAAGAUUCAUUUCUUCUUCUUCCUCGUCGUUGCUGUUGUCUUCAAAGUUCAUCGAGUCAAGUGGAGAUGGUGAACUAGAGGUUAUCUCUUUCUCUUUUAUCUCUUUAGCUUUUGAGAAAGGGUUUAUGUUCAAUAUUUAAAUAUUUAAAGAUGUUUUUUUUGAAAAUUUUUUUUAAAGAUGUUUUUAAAUAUUUAAAGAUGUUUUAGAAAAUUUUUGUUGUUAAUUCAUACAUGUUUAAAUAUAUUUAAAUAAGAGUUUAAUUUUAUCAAAAUUAUGGUAAAUUAUACUUCACUAUUUUAUUUAUAAUUACAUAAAUUAAUUUUAUAUUUUAUUUUAAUGAUAUUUUCUAGAAAAGAUAAAAGAAAAAAUAUAUGCGUAUUGAGUCAAAACUAUCAUGUCUCAUAAAAAUGAAGGAUAUAUUUUGCUAUUGGAGAUCGUAAUCAUAAAUAAGUCCUCGACUACACUUUGUUAGACUUUCUUUUAUCUUUACAUUGUUUUACCUUUCUAGUUUUAAAUAUAACUUCAACAGUAAUACUAUAAUUAAAACAAUGUAGCCUUGUUUUUGUCAACUAAGCAGUAGAGCCAAUAUAAUUAAUUAGUUAGUAUCACUAUUUCAGUCAAUUUGGUGUUAGGAUAGCUUUUUGGGAAAUAAGAAAGUGAAUAAAAUUUAAAUAAACGUGAUAAUUAUUUUUGUCCAUAUGCCAAUGGUAUAAUAUAAAUGCAUUAAUAUUUCUGCAAUAAAGUGAUGGGCAGUCUAAUCACAUCGAAAUCAGUAAUGCCCUUAAUAAUUUCAAGGUCUGAAUUUUUGUUGGCGACUUUUCAAAAAAAAAUAUAAUUCAUUAUAAAUAAAACAAAAUAUUGUAUUAUUUUGGGUGAUGAAAUAAAACAAAGUUUAAUACAUCGACUGUAGAUAAUAUGCGAAGGUUGAAGAAAAAACGUAAGAAGUGGAUCAUUAUUAACCGCCUGAUUAAUUAACACAUGCUGACGUUAAUCUGUGGCACCAGAUUUUUCGUUUGUCUUUUUUUCUUUGUAUCAAACGAUAUGAGCCCGUAAUAUGACCAAGUACUAAUACUCAUACAAGUUAUCUCUAAUGAGUAGUCUCUUCAUAAAUUCAGGCGUGUCAUUCGUGUUCCUAUCAGAAAAACAGUAUUAUACGAUUGAACCAGGAUGUUUUGCAUAUAUAGUAGUAAAUGCUAAAGUUCUGUAGAACCUCAAAUUACCAAAGUAAAGAUUAAGUCUUGAGAGUGAUCAAAAUAACUCAUAGACGCGAGAGCUAAGUAAAAUUCUGAUGUUACGAACAAAAAUGUACUCUCAAAGGAAGAAAUAGGAAAAUGGAUACUGAAAGACGUUUGAGAUGACGUGCGCUUACCUGUACUUGUCAGCUGUCAGGAAACCGCUUUCCUGCGUGGAGACACACAGAUGAUUGGUUUCCGUUCAUUAUUCAUGCACGGAAUUAUUUUUACAUUUUUACAAACAAAUACAAAAAAAAAUUCAGAUUUAUAACACGAUAGAUGGAAUGACUUCCUCUUCAGAAUAUGUAAAACGUAAUUUCGGAAUGCUAAUAAUUUCAAAAGAUAGUUUAAGUAGAGACUAUAUGUAUAUAUAAGUCGCACUGAAAUUAUAAAACUAAAAGAGACGGGAGCAGGCGGCGGCGCGAGGUGGUGGAAGUAAGGUAAUUCCUUGCGGUGGAAGUUACGGUGACAGCCACAAGCGGCGCAUUUUAGGGCGUCGAUGGUACCUUCGGUUCCAGCUGGCAUAAACUCACGACAACCAUCCACCGCAUGUCCUCC
rnacentral:lncRNA from 1 species